CGAAUGCUGACAUAAGUAACGAUAAAGCGGGUGAAAAGCCCGCUCGCCGGAAGACCAAGGGUUCCUGUCCAACGUUAAUCGGGGCAGGGUGAGUCGACCCCUAAGGCGAGGCCGAAAGGCGUAGUCGAUGGGAAACAGGUUAAUAUUCCUGUACUUGGUGUUACUGCGAAGGGGGGACGGAGAAGGCUAUGUUGGCCGGGCGACGGUUGUCCCGGUUUAAGCGUGUAGGCUGGUUUUCCAGGCAAAUCCGGAAAAUCAAGGCUGAGGCGUGAUGACGAGGCACUACGGUGCUGAAGCAACAAAUGCCCUGCUUCCAGGAAAAGCCUCUAAGCAUCAGGUAACAUCAAAUCGUACCCCAAACCGACACAGGUGGUCAGGUAGAGAAUACCAAGGCGCUUGAGAGAACUCGGGUGAAGGAACUAGGCAAAAUGGUGCCGUAACUUCGGGAGAAGGCACGCUGAUACGUAGGUGAAGCGACUUGCUCGUGGAGCUGAAAUCAGUCGAAGAUACCAGCUGGCUGCAACUGUUUAUUAAAAACACAGCACUGUGCAAACACGAAAGUGGACGUAUACGGUGUGACGCCUGCCCGGUGCCGGAAGGUUAAUUGAUGGGGUUAGCGGUAACGCGAAGC
rnacentral:rRNA from 1 species